rnacentral:rRNA from 1 species
GACGAACGCUGGCGGCGUGCUUAACACAUGCAAGUCGAACGGUAAGGCCCUUCGGGGUACACGAGUGGCGAACGGGUGAGUAACACGUGGGUGAUCUGCCCUGCACUUCGGGAUAAGCCUGGGAAACUGGGUCUAAUACCGGAUAGGACUCCGGACUGCAUGGUCUGGGGUGGAAAGCUUUUGCGGUGUGGGAUGGGCACGCGGCCUAUCAGCUUGUUGGUGGGGUGAUGGCCUACCAAGGCGACGACGGGUAGCCGGCCUGAGAGGGUGACCGGCCACACGGGGACUGAGAUACGGCCCAGACUCCUACGGGAGGCAGCAGUGGGGAAUAUUGCACAAUGGGCGCAAGCCUGAUGCAGCGACGCCGCGUGAGGGAUGACGGCCUUCGGGUUGUAAACCUCUUUCAGCAUCGACGAAGCGAAAGUGACGGUAGGUGCAGAAGAAGGACCGGCCAACUACGUGCCAGCAGCCGCGGUAA